UACGUAGGGCGCAAGCGUUGUCCGGAAUUAUUGGGCGUAAAGAGCUCGUAGGCGGUUUGUCGCGUCUGCUGUGAAAUCCCCAGGCUCAACUUGGGGGCGUGCAGUGGGUACGGGCAGACUAGAGUGCGGUAGGGGAGACUGGAAUUCCUGGUGUAGCGGUGGAAUGCGCAGAUAUCAGGAGGAACACCGAUGGCGAAGGCAGGUCUCUGGGCCGUUACUGACGCUGAGGAGCGGAAAGCAUGGGGAGCGAACAGG
rnacentral:rRNA from 1 species